rnacentral:misc_RNA from 1 species
GUAGGUGAACCUGCGGAGGGAUCAUUACACAAUACAAUAUGAAGGCCGUACGCGGCUGGAUUAUUUUAUUACCCUUGUCUUUUGCGCACUUGUUGUUUCCUGGGCGGGUUCGCCCGCCACCAGGACCACACCAUAAACCUUUUGUAAUUGCAAUCAGCGUCAGUAAAAAAAAUUAAUAAUUACAACUUUUAACAACGGAUCUCUUGGUUCUG